UUAAAUUGAAGAGUUUGAUCAUGGCUCAGAUUGAACGCUGGCGGCAGGCCUAACACAUGCAAGUCGAACGGUAACAGGAAGCAGCUUGCUGCUUCGCUGACGAGUGGCGGACGGGUGAGUAAUGUCUGGGAAACUGCCUGAUGGAGGGGGAUAACUACUGGAAACGGUGGCUAAUACCGCAUAACGUCGCAAGACCAAAGAGGGGGACCUUCGGGCCUCUUGCCAUCAGAUGUGCCCAGAUGGGAUUAGCUGGUUGGUGAGGUAACGGCUCACCAAGGCGACGAUCCCUAGCUGGUCUGAGAGGAUGACCAGCCACACUGGAACUGAGACACGGUCCAGACUCCUACGGGAGGCAGCAGUGGGGAAUAUUGCACAAUGGGCGCAAGCCUGAUGCAGCCAUGCCGCGUGUAUGAAGAAGGCCUUCGGGUUGUAAAGUACUUUCAGCGGGGAGGAAGGUGUUGUGGUUAAUAACCGCAGCAAUUGACGUUACCCGCAGAAGAAGCACCGGCUAACUCCGUGCCAGCAGCCGCGGUAAUACGGAGGGUGCAAGCGUUAAUCGGAAUUACUGGGCGUAAAGCGCACGCAGGCGGUCUGUCAAGUCGGAUGUGAAAUCCCCGGGCUCAACCUGGGAACUGCAUUCGAAACUGGCAGGCUUGAGUCUUGUAGAGGGGGGUAGAAUUCCAGGUGUAGCGGUGAAAUGCGUAGAGAUCUGGAGGAAUACCGGUGGCGAAGGCGGCCCCCUGGACAAAGACUGACGCUCAGGUGCGAAAGCGUGGGGAGCAAACAGGAUUAGAUACCCUGGUAGUCCACGCCGUAAACGAUGUCUACUUGGAGGUUGUGCCCUUGAGGCGUGGCUUCCGGAGCUAACGCGUUAAGUAGACCGCCUGGGGAGUACGGCCGCAAGGUUAAAACUCAAAUGAAUUGACGGGGGCCCGCACAAGCGGUGGAGCAUGUGGUUUAAUUCGAUGCAACGCGAAGAACCUUACCUGGUCUUGACAUCCACAGAACUUUCCAGAGAUGGAUUGGUGCCUUCGGGAACUGUGAGACAGGUGCUGCAUGGCUGUCGUCAGCUCGUGUUGUGAAAUGUUGGGUUAAGUCCCGCAACGAGCGCAACCCUUAUCCUUUGUUGCCAGCGGUCCGGCCGGGAACUCAAAGGAGACUGCCAGUGAUAAACUGGAGGAAGGUGGGGAUGACGUCAAGUCAUCAUGGCCCUUACGACCAGGGCUACACACGUGCUACAAUGGCGCAUACAAAGAGAAGCGACCUCGCGAGAGCAAGCGGACCUCAUAAAGUGCGUCGUAGUCCGGAUUGGAGUCUGCAACUCGACUCCAUGAAGUCGGAAUCGCUAGUAAUCGUGGAUCAGAAUGCCACGGUGAAUACGUUCCCGGGCCUUGUACACACCGCCCGUCACACCAUGGGAGUGGGUUGCAAAAGAAGUAGGUAGCUUAACCUUCGGGAGGGCGCUUACCACUUUGUGAUUCAUGACUGGGGUGAAGUCGUAACAAGGUAACCGUAGGGGAACCUGCGGUUGGAUCACCUCCUUACCUGAAAGAAGC
rnacentral:rRNA from 1 species